UACGGAGGGUGCAAGCGUUAUCCAGAUUCACUGGGUUUAAAGGGUGCGUAGGCGGACAGGUAAGUCAGUGGUGAAAUCUCCGAGCUUAACUCGGAAACUGCCUUUGAUACUCUCUGUCUUGAAUAUGGUGGAGGUAAGCGGAAUAUGUCAUGUAGCGGUGAAAUGCUUAGAGAUGACAUAGAACACCUAUUGCGAAGGCAGCUUACUACGCCUAUAUUGACGCUGAGGCACGAAAGCGUGGGGAUCAAACAGG
rnacentral:rRNA from 1 species